CGCAGCUGCGCUCUCUGGAUGUUCCGAGCGCACGCACUAGCCGACAAACUGCAAACGUCGUUCCCUUCCAAAAAAACAGCACACCGAUACAUCCCUUUCGCUAUCCUUAUCCCGGUCCCUCUCCAGAAAAAAAAAAGCCUUAUCCCGAUCCCUUUCCUCCUCUCAGAACGGAGGUGAAGAAGCACGGGAGCACACCGGAGCGUCGAUGUGGAGGCGGCGGAUCAGAGGAGCCGGCGAAGAGGUCGGCCAGGACGGGAAUAGCAGCGCCACCGUCUCUUCCUCCCAAAUUUUCAGUGCGGAGCUGGAGUAAUGCCGUCGGCGUCGUGGUCGAUCCGUCAAGGGUGCGGGAUGUGGGAUGUCCACCCAUCCGCAACUACUGGAAGAACACGCUGGCAGCGAGUGUCCCCAAGAGCAAGGGAGGAGAUGAUGUUGCAGCUCAAGGGGGCCUCACUACCUGAAGGUGAGCAUGGAUGGCGCCCAUUUUCCCCCAUCAAAUUUGUACAAAUUCGUUGCAGAGCAAUGGACAUUUGUGUUUGAAUCAGUGGGUGAAUAUUUUGCAAUCAAUAGAUAGGCAGUUAUGUGAAUUAUGGGGAGAAAGCAGUCCCUUGGAUUUCUAGAAGAGUUGCCUCGUAUUGUAAUGCAGUUGCUUGAUUUUGUUAGAACAGUUGUUUGGUUUUUGCUAGGCCAA